rnacentral:rRNA from 1 species
CAUGUAGGCGGUUUUUUAAGUCUGGAGUGAAAAUGCGGGGCUCAACCCCGUAUGGCUCUGGAUACUGGAAGACUUGAGUGCAGGAGAGGAAAGGGGAAUUCCCAGUGUAGCGGUGAAAUGCGUAGAUAUUGGGAGGAACACCAGUGGCGAAGGCGCCUUUCUGGACUGCGUCUGACGCUGAGAUGCGAAAGCCAGGGUAGCGAACG